CCUACGGGAGGCAGCAGUGAGGAAUAUUCCACAAUGGGGGAAACCCUGAUGGAGCGAUGCCGCGUGCAGGAAGACGCUUUUCGGAGUGUAAACUGCUUUUAACAAGGAAGAUUAUGACGGUACUUGUAGAAUAAGGACCGGCUAACUACGUGCCAGCAGCCGCGGUAAUACGUAGGGUCCAAGCGUUAUUCGGAAUUACUGGGCGUAAAGCGUUCGUAGGCGGUUUGAUAAGUUGGAUGUGAAAUCCUGUGGCUCAACCACAUGGACUGUGUCCAAAACUAUCUGACUAGAGCAUAGUAGAGGCAAGUGGAAUUUGCGGUGUAGGAGUGACAUCCGUAGAUAUCGCAAGGAACACCAAUGGCGAAGGCAGCUUGCUGGGCUAUUGCUGACGCUCAGGAACGAAAGCGUGGGGAGCGAACGGGGAUUAGGAUACCCCCGGGUAGUCCCACGCCGUAAAACGAUGAUCACUAGCAGUAUGGANACUUCCGACCCUUCUGUUGUUGCCACAGCUACGACGUUAAGUAGAUCCGCCGUGGGAGGUACGGGCGGCGAGACGUUAACUACGAAGAAGUAGUAGACGNGAGAGAGCGACGACGACGACGACGGAGGAGG
rnacentral:rRNA from 1 species